rnacentral:rRNA from 1 species
CCUACGGGAGGCAGCAGUGAGGAAUAUUGGUCAAUGGACGAGAGUCUGAACCAGCCAAGUAGCGUGAAGGAUGACUGCCCUAUGGGUUGUAAACUUCGUUUAUAUGGGAAUAAAAUGUUCCACGUGUGGGAUUUUGUAUGUACCAUAUGAAUAAGGAUCGGCUAACUCCGUGCCAGCAGCCGCGGUAAUACGGAGGAUCCGAGCGUUAUCCGGAUUUAUUGGGUUUAAAGGGAGCGUAGGUGGAUUGUUAAGUCAGUUGUGAAAGUUUGCGGCUCAACCGUAAAAUUGCAGUUGAAACUGGCAGUCUUGAGUACAGUAGAGGUGGGCGGAAUUCGUGGUGUAGCGGUGAAAUGCUUAGAUAUCACGAAGAACUCCGAUUGCGAAGGCAGUUCACUGGACUGCAACUGACACUGAGGCUCGAAAGUGUGGGUAUCAAACAGGAUUAGAUACCCCUGUAGUC